AAAAAGUGGAGUCCAUAAUCCACAAUAAAAAACGGGGCGUCACUGAAAAGCCAUAAGAGUAAGAAAAAU
rfam:Bacteroidetes bacterium GWF2_35_48 gwf2_scaffold_703, whole genome shotgun sequence.